UCUGCUAUGGUCUAGUGGCUAGGAUACUGGCUUCCACCAGCCUAGGAGGCUCUUGGGUUGGAUUCCCGGUACCAGAA
rnacentral:tRNA from 1 species